rnacentral:rRNA from 1 species
AGAGUUUGAUCCUGGCUCAGGAUGAACGUUAGCUACAGGCUUAACACAUGCAAGUCGAGGGGAAACGACAUCGAAAGCUUGCUUUUGAUGGGCGUCGACCGGCGCACGGGUGAGUAACGCGUAUCCAACCUGCCCACCACUUGGGGAUAACCUUGCGAAAGUAAGACUAAUACCCAAUGAUAUCUCUAGAAGACAUCUGAAAGAGAUUAAAGAUUUAUCGGUGAUGGAUGGGGAUGCGUCUGAUUAGCUUGUUGGCGGGGUAACGGCCACCAAGGCGACGAUCAGUAGGGGUCUGAGAGGAGGUCCCCANAUUGGAACUGAGACACGGUCCAAACUCCUACGAGAGGCA